rnacentral:rRNA from 1 species
GACGAACGCUGGCGGCGUGCUUAACACAUGCAAGUCGAGCGGUAAGGCCCUUUCGGGGGUACACGAGCGGCGAACGGGUGAGUAACACGUGGGUGACCUGCCCUCAGCUCUGGGAUAAGCCUGGGAAACCGGGUCUAAUACUGGAUAUGACUCCAUGACGCAUGUUGUGGGGUGGAAAGCCUUGUGCGGCUGAGGAUGGGCCCGCGGCCUAUCAGCUUGUUGGUGGGGUGANGGCCUACCAAGGCGACGACGGGUAGCCGGCCUGAGAGGGCGACCGGCCACACUGGGACUGAGACACGGCCCAGACUCCUACGGGAGGCAGCAGUGGGGAAUCUUGCGCAAUGGGCGAAAGCCUGACGCAGCGACGCCGCGUGAGGGAUGACGGCCUCGGUUGUAAC